rnacentral:sRNA from 1 species
CGACGGCGACGGCGCGAGCUGGAAGUCCACCGCGGAGGUCGCCAGGCCGAGGCGGCGGAGGUGGCGCCUGACGCCGUCGAGGCCUUGCUGGUCGUCGCGGACGCAGACCAGGCGGCCUCCCGUCCGCGCGGCGGCGAUGGCGAGCGCGACAGCCGUGGCCGGGGAUGACGACGACGACGACGAAGCGCCGCCCCCGCCGGCGGAGGAGGCGACGUCGAGGAGGUGGCGCGCCUGGUUGCCGGCGGCCAGCGCGGCGAUGUACUCC